UUUAGGGAACUUUUCCUUCCACGUAUGAACCUACACCCAAUCACCAAGUUGGAAAACUAUUCGCUUCCUUCCUUUAUUAGCGUUUCGUGCAUAGGAUUCAUUUUUCUUUUAGAUAUGCUACCCAGUUUCUCAUGUAUGGCUUUAACAAGUUCUGACCUCCACUGACCAUCGGUGUCCUGAAUUUCCUAUAAAAGUAAAGACGUCAGAUCUAGUAGAGUUAAAGGAUUGAAACCAUAAACAAUCUGAAAAGGUGAAAACCCUGU
rnacentral:lncRNA from 1 species